AAUGAACGUUGGCGGCGUGGAUUAGGCAUGCAAGUCGUGCGCGAUGUGUAGCAAUACAUUGAAAGCGGCGAAAGGGAGAGUAACGCGUGGAUACCUACCCUGAGGCCCGGGAUAGCUGCGGGAAACUGCAGGUAAUACCGGAUGAUGUCUCUGGACCAAAGGUGUGAUUCCUCCUUAGGAUGGGUCCGCGUCCUAUUAGCUAGUUGGUGAGGUAAUGGCUCACCAAGGCGACGAUGGGUACUGGGUGUGAGAGCACGACCCAGCUCACUGGGACUGAGACACUGGCCAGACACCGACGGGUGGCUGCAGUCGAGAAUCUUCCGCAAUGGGCGAAAGCCUGACGGAGCGACGCCGCGUGUGGGACGAAGGCCUUCGGGUUGUAAACCACUGUCAGUUGGGAGGAAAUAUCUAGGGGUUCUCCCCUAGGUUUGACCGAUCUUCAGAGGAAGUCCGGGCUAAGCUCGUGCCAGCCGCCGCGGUAACAC
rnacentral:rRNA from 1 species